rnacentral:rRNA from 1 species
AAAAGAAGAUCAAGAAGAGCUUCAGAAUGAAGCUUUCUUGAUGGAGGGGAGCGGCAGACGGGUGAGUAAAACGUGGGAACAUACCCAUCUCUGCGGAACACCUCCGGGAAACUGGAGCUAAUACCGCAUACGCCCUUCGGGGGCAAGAUUUAUCGGAGAUGGAUUGGCCCGCGUUGGAUUAGCUAGUUGGUGGGGUAAAGGCCUACCAAGGCGACGAUCCAUAGCUGGUCUGAGAGGAUGAUCAGCCACAUUGGGACUGAGACACGGCCCAAACUCCUACGGGAGGCAGCAGUGGGGAAUAUUGGACAAUGGGCGCAAGCCUGAUCCAGCCAUGCCGCGUGAGUGAUGAAGGCCUUAGGGUUGUAAAGCUCUUUCACCGAUGAAGAUAAUGACGGUAGUCGGAGAAGAAGCCCCGGCUAACUUCGUGCCAGCAGCCGCUGUAA